rnacentral:rRNA from 1 species
AUGCCGAGUGGGGACCAGGUCGGUGCGUAUCGGUUCAUGACGUGCCCCUCUUUGUCAACUAGAAACUUGGUGAAGUUCCAUUUGAUACGCUCUCCAAAUAGACCGCCUCUCUCUGAUUUCAAGAACUUGUACAGCAGGGCAGCAUUGUUGCCAUUCACGUCGACCUUGCGAAAAAUAGGAAACUCUGCUUGGAAGCGAUUGCAAGCAAACUCCACAAUCUUCUCAUCACUAUCUGGUUCCUGCCCGGCAAACUGA